GCAGUACAGACUGCGGGAGUGGCUGUACAGAUUGUGUGAGCAGCUGCAAGAGUGUCAGUACGUGACCGCAGACUGUCAGAAGACUUACGAAUUGAGCUUACCAUCACAAUCACGUGUCUAAUAUAUCUACCAAAAAGUGUUUCAAUUCUCUCAUCACUUCAUGCACGCCGAGUUUAGUAGUCUUUAGAGCGUGCUUUAACAGCCCGUACACGAGGUUUUUUUUUGUGAUUAUUGCGGCCGAAAUAUACGUCCGACUUCGCUGAGGCUUUUUUUCCCAAAACGUGUGACGCAACUAGCAGUGCUGCGAGUGCAUGAAAUUGUUUCGCACGGUAUUUCGGGGCGAUGUUCGACGCGGGUGAACCGAAGAGGGCUUUGGCUGAACGUGCAUCGUGAUGACGUCACAUGAUGCGUCUUGGCCCAAAUCCGUUAAAAAAAUUUUUUUUUUAAAUCACAAGCUCCUCCGAAUACUGCGGAGUUUGCUCCAUUUUGCGUUCAUUUCUGCGAGCGCAAAAUCCCGGAGGGACUGUUUUAUAAAGUGUAGAAUAGCAAAUCCGGUUAGUAAUAAAAACAACCGUGGCCGGUAGUACGGAUUUCAAAUUGCUUUCUUUAUCGCGCAGAAAGCACAUUCAAAAACGUCCUCAAAUACUCCGCCCGUCCCGAAAAUUACCCCACGUGCAUCGCCAACUCUAAUCAACUCGCUCUGAGCUGGAGAAUCAAAACCAACCAAAACAUAAAAUAUCACCAAAAACAAGAUUUACUGUAUUUGGUACAAAAUUGUACGAAUAGUCUUUAAUCAUAUGAACUCACGUGAACCCUUUGCUUCAUUAUUGUCAUGGAUUUCUUUCACGUGAUCCAGAUCACCACUGUUACAGAAAUACCAAAGACACACAGUGUCUAUACCAAUGAUACAACAGUGACGCUCUGGAUACACCAACGGAAAAAUACACUGGAUAAGCAGCUUUGCUGUGUGUGUGUGUGUGUGUGUGUGUGUGUGUUCCCAGUUCUGCAGUAUGUUCUGUCUCGUCCUGCUCGUUGCAUUGGAAUGGAAAGUAUUAGCCUGGUCUCCUCCCAAUGACUAGUACAAGUGCUUCUCGCAUACUCUCUCUCUCGCACUCUCAGAGGACGGCCCUAGAAAUACGAUCCCUCCAAGUAUAACCCUCCUACCAGUGCGGGCGGACCCCACACACAUGCAGUCUGAGUGUGUAUGCAUGUACAAGUGCUUUACUGUAACUGUGAUCUAUUCGAGCUACAGGAACAGACGCUAAAGUGAAGGUGGGUUUGGUCAGCGUGGUGCUCCGAGACGUGCAACACGCGUUCACGCGGCUAUUCAUAGACACUCCAGAGCUGUGGUCCAAACACACCCUCGACAAUUUCCCCAUGCAUGAGGAGCAGAAAGUCACUUAAUAUCCCACCAAUGUAACAUCUGGUUUGCGAUGUCCACACUGGGAUUUCUGUAGCCAGAAUUACAUUUCAGUAUUUUAUUCGGUUAUUAGGAUUAAAGACGUGGACGGACUAUGCAAAAGCACAAGUACGGGGGGGGGGCGCUGAUUUCCAACGGCGGCUGAAUCAUGGGUUCGUAACUGUACUAUGAUCAGACGUUCGCCUCGACUGUAUCGCACCACCUUCUUAUUUCAAACGUGCCACACCGCUAGCAGUCCAGACGUCCCCCGUCCCAACUUUUUUGGAACGUCUCGCGUUGCGUCGACUCCAAAUAAAGCUCUACGCAGUUGAUUUGGCAAAACGUCGGAUACCUGGUCUCUACACGGUUUUUUUUUGUUGUUUAAGAAAUGAAAAACGUAUAAAUCGUCGUCAUGACAUCGUAACAGUCAUGGAAGGAGUCUCCAGUGCCAGCGCUUUGGAACACGACGACUUCACCGGCCUCCUCUUUUCUUUUCUUUUCCCCUCCUUCCCUCUGGUGAAGGAGUAAUCGUUGUGAAUGGAGUCUGCAUGCUCUCCCCACGCUUCGGGGGUUUCCAGAAACAGAUUAUCGUCAUUUCCAUUACGGUAUAAUUUCGGAAGAACCCGAUUAAAAAAAAAAAAAAAAAGAUGCUUCAGCGGAAAUGAAUAAAAAUCAACAAAAUAAUCGCCAUGUAAACAACCAGACUGGAGUCUUUGAGGACGAGUAACACAGCAAUCUGUGAAUAAAUAGAGGACGUGUGUGUUUUCACCUGGAACGAGGACAUGGCUAUAAAUGCAGGGUGUGUGUGUGUGUGUGUGUGUCUUUCAAACACUAGUAUAAACUGUAUGCACAGUUGCCUUCCCACUCGAUUUCUCUCACUAGACGCUUAGUCAUUCUUACAAACGGUCAAACAAGCGGACGAUGCUGCGAGCGCUCGGAGAGACUGGAGUGUGAGAUUGAGGUUGAGCGGAGCAGAGCUGCUUCGAUAUGACAACACAAACACCACCUGUUCGAGCCCAUUCACACACACGCACGCACGCACACGCACGCACGGAUCCGUCAUCGCGCACACAUCCCGUCAUUCAGCCGAUCCCUGUGCUUUACAGCGCACACGGCAGCAG
ensembl:lncRNA